rnacentral:rRNA from 1 species
CACGAGAAGGAGGGCGGUGCACCGAGGCCAAUGCACAUGAUGCAAAAUUUCAGAGAUGCUCUUGUUGAUUGCGAAUUGGACGACAUGGGUUGUAGUGGUGAUUUAUAUACUUGGAGGAGGAGGAGGCUUAGAGAAUGCCUCGACAGAGCGGUAUGUAAUGGUCAAUUCCAUGGGCUUUUUCCUGAGGCAAAGAUUACUAAUGCUGCACACACCAAGUCUGAUCACAGACCAAUAUUGAUUGAUACGGAGGGAGAUGUACAGGGGGACCAUCAGCGAACCCAUUAG